CCAAUAGCGUAUAUUAAAGUUGCUGCAGUUAAAAAGCUCGUCGUUGAAUUUCGGGACCAAUAUGUCGGUCGUGCCUCGGUACGUACUGGCAUCGUUGGUUUCUCCCUUCUGACGAACCAUGAUGUCAUUUAUUUGGUGUCGUGGGGAAUCAGGACUGUUACUUUGAAAAAAUUAGAGUGUUUAAAGCAGGCUCACGCUUGAAUACAUUAGCAUGGAAUAAUGAAAUAGGACGUUUGAUUCUAUUUUGUUGGUUUCUAGGAUCGACGUAAUGAUUAAUAGGGAUAGUUGGGGGCAUUAGUAUUCAAUUGUCAGAGGUGAAAUUCUUGGAUUUAUUGAAGACUAACUACUGCGAAAGCAUUUGCCAAGGAUGUUUUCAUUAAUCAAGAACGAAAGUUAGGGGAUCGAAGACGAUCAGAUACCGUCGUAGUCUUAACCAUAAACUAUGCCGACUAGGGAUCGGAUGAUGUUAAUUUUUUAAUGACUCAUUCGGCGCCUUACG
rnacentral:rRNA from 1 species